GUGCUUUCUUCAGCAGCUCAUAUACUAAAAUAGGGACGAUACACAGAAGAUAAGCAUGGCUCCUGUGUAAGGAUGACACGCAAAUGCGUGAAGCAUUCCGUAUUUUU
ensembl:snRNA U6 U6 spliceosomal RNA